CAGCCGCCGCGGUAAAACGAAGGGGGCUAGCGUUGUUCGGAAUUACUGGGCGUAAAGCGCACGUAGGCGGAUACUUAAGUUAGGGGUGAAAUCCCAGGGCUCAACCCUGGAACUGCCUUUAAUACUGGGUAUCUUGAAUUCGAGAGAGGUAAGUGGAAUUCCGAGUGUAGAGGUGAAAUUCGUAGAUAUUCGGAGGAACACCAGUGGCGAAGGCGGCUUACUGGCUCGAUACUGACGCUGAGGUGCGAAAGCGUGGGGAGCAAACAGGAUUAGAUACCCCUGUAGUCCCUGUCUCUUAUAC
rnacentral:rRNA from 1 species